CCUACGGGUGGCAGCAGUCGAGAAUCAUUCACAAUGGGGGAAACCCUGAUGGUGCGACGCCGCGUGGGGGAAUGAAGGUCUUCGGAUUGUAAACCCCUGUCAUGUGGGAGCAAAUUAAAAAGAUCGUACCACAAGAGGAAGAGACGGCUAACUCUGUUCCAGCAGCCGCGGUAAUACAGAGGUCUCAAGCGUUGUUCGGAAUCACUGGGCGUAAAGCGUGCGUAGGCUGUUUCGUAAGUCGUGUGUGAAAGGCGCGGGCUCAACCCGCGGACGGCACAUGAUACUGCGAGACUAGAGUAAGGGAGGGGGAACCGGAAUUCUCGGUGUAGCAGUGAAAUGCGUAGAUAUCGAGAGGAACACUCGUGGCGAAGGCGGGUUCCUGGACAUUAACUGACGCUGAGGCACGAAGGCCAGGGGAGCGAAAGGGAUUAGAUACCCGGGUAGUC
rnacentral:rRNA from 1 species